rnacentral:rRNA from 1 species
GUCCUUUUGAAUUUAUUUAAGGUCUAACCUGCCCAAUGAAAAUUUUAAAUGGCCGCAGUAUUUUGACUGUGCAAAGGUAGCAUAAUCAUUAGUUUUUUAAUUAAAAGCUUGUAUGAAGGGUUGGACGAGAUAAAAUCUGUCUUAAUUUAAUUUAUUUUAGAAUUUAAUUUUUAAGUUAAAAAGCUUAAAUUUUAUUAAAAGACGAGAAGACCCUAUAGAUCUUUAUAUUUAAUUUAAUAUUAUUAUUUUAGAAUUAUAAAUUUAUUAUUAAUUUAAUUAUUUUAUUGGGGUAAUAUAAAGAUUAAAUAAAUUCUUUAUUAUUUAUUACAUUGAUUUAUGAUUAUUUGAUCCAAUAUUAUUGAUUAUAAGAUUAAGUUACCUUAGGGAUAACAGCGUAAUUUUUUUAGAGAGUUCAUAUCGAUAAAAAAGUUUGCGACCUCGAUGUUGGAUUAAAAAUUAUCUUAGGUGCAGGAGUUUAAGAUUUUGGUCUGUUCGACCAUUAAAUUUUUACA